rnacentral:rRNA from 1 species
UACAGAGGGUGCAAGCGUUGUUCGGAAUUACUGGGCGUAAAGCGCAUGUAGGCGGCGCGGUAAGUCCUGUGUGAAAGCCCCGGGCUCAACCCGGGAAGUGCGCAGGAUACCGCAGUGCUUGAGUGACGGAGAGGAUGGCGGAAUACCCGGUGUAGAGGUGAAAUGCGUAGAUAUCGGGUGGAACACCGGUGGCGAAGGCGGCGACCUGGGUAGAUACUGACGCUGAGGUGCGAAAGCGUGGGGAGCAAACAGG